rnacentral:lncRNA from 1 species
UUAGAAGAAAGCCAAAGUAGACAACCAUGAUUGACAUGUAGCCUAUAGGAUAGUAUUGCUUACUUGAAAUUUUACACAACAGCUGAACACUGAUCAUAAGCUUGUCUGUCUGUGGAUGUUUUCACACUGCUGUAAACUACCUCCUGGGAAAAAGUUAGCAGAAGCAAACAAGAAGCUUUCUCUACAGCAGGCCAUCAAUUUUGUUUGCUACUAUUGCUUUGUGUGCUUAAAACUGCCUGUGUGA